rnacentral:lncRNA from 1 species
GGCUUUUGAAACUGUUAUAACACAACUUAUAACAUUGGAAAUACAUUAUUUUAUUAAUACAAAGUAGUUUUCAUAGUAAAAUACCAAAUUAAUUAAAAGGCAGAAUGAAACGUACCAUAUACAUGUAGACGACAAAUGAAAACUGUCAAAGUAUCCUUCUCUCUAAAAAGCCACAAAUUACGUUCUUUGAAGUAAGUAUUGGGUUUUAUUUCCUAAACUAUACACAUCAAUAUCACCUCCUGAAGCUUUUUACCCAGUUUCACGGUUGGUAUUUCGGACAUGCAAUGUUCCAUGCUGUCAAACUUGGAAUGCCUCGUUUGGAUACAGGGAGACAAAGACUUGGAGACCCAGAAGCCUGAAAGUGGUUCUUGACCGACUUUGUCCACUCAAAUUAAGGCAUCAUGCAGCUGGUCAUCACUUACAUUGCUGGUUGCACGCAGGCACACACACACCAGUGCUCACAGCCAGCACUUGUUAAGAAUGGUUGAGCUGGACCAAAUGGUAUACGUGUCUUUCAUCAAUAUAAACAUGGACUGCAUUCAUCUGGACACGGGCCUUUCCCGCCUACCGAGCCUGCCCACCACCCGAAGUUUAAGCUCAUCUUGGAGGACCUGACACUCAGGAAGCCGUCUCCCGUUGUUCCACCGGCUUUGUGGCCCCAAUGUCUGUAUAAGCUGCUGAUUUGCCUUGGGAAAACAAACCAGCAUCGAUUUCAGAGAAAUUACUGGAUAAUUUGCGCUGUGAGGCGCCUAGAUCGCAAGGCGCACUCCGCAAAUGACAGCCGCUCCCGUGCACUUGUCCAGUCAUUCGGGUGGCAUACUGUCCGGGUGGAAGCCCGCCAAAAUAAUCCAUUUGGAAGGGACGGAGGGCUUCGUCAGAAAUUGCCUUCUUGUAGCUAUGAGACAUUGAGCAAAACAGAUAAGAACUGGGGCAAUGGAGGCAUAAACAUUAAGGCUAGGAUGUAUUUUUGGGGAGAAAGCGGCGGCUAGCAGGGACGAAGCUCAACUUCAUGCGCCGCGCCCCGGAAUGCUUUGCCUUUAGCCACUAGCGGAGCCGCCCGCCUGAGGGAGCCCUCCGGGAGUGAGCGCACGCAACCGUGCAGUCAGAUUCCUCCGCCGACCGCGGCCCUCUCUCCUCGGGCUUUGCCUUCGCUCUCUAGCUUUUCUUCUUUCACUCCCGCUCGCCGACUCCAGCCCGCUGGGCUCACGCUCUGCCGGACACCAAUCCCGGCGGCCCUGCCCGACGGAGCUCAAGGCUAGGCCUGGCCUUGUCCGCGGAGUCCGCCCCUCGCCGCCACCGGGAUCCGCCCCCGCGCCGACACGCACUUCCGGCAGCGCCGCGGCCGGGAGGGACCGAGCGGGGAGCAAGGCCUGCGGGGAGGCGCAGGAUGGACGCGUUGGCUGUCAUGAUGUAGGACCUCCUGACCUAGAACCAUGCCCGGCGCAGGGAGAACAACGAGCUUACGGACCGGGUGCGGGGGCUGCUGUGCGAGAAAGCCUACCUGCUGGCCCGGGAGCGUUCGCCGGCCCACCUGGUGGCUUUCCCUGGACGUUUAACGGCGACUCCGCCCGGCCUCCCGACUUUUUGAUGCAGGCGUUCUCUUACAUGACUUUCUUCGAGGCUAGAUUCUCGAAAGACAUCCUGAAGGUGGCUUUCUUAAUUAGCUGCCUCACCGGCUGGCGGAGCAGUUCGUAGUCGCCUACAUCGAGAGGGAGAGCCCCGUCCUGGCUCAGUACUGGGGCUUCGUGGACGCGCUGUAGCGGGUCUUCGCCGUCGUGGGUAGGAAACAGUCGGGCCGGAUCCCCGGUGUCUGGGGAGCGGCUGCCGGCCGGGCCCGCGCGAGCCGCUUCACUCCUACAAGCCCGGCUCACUAGUUCCAAGCUGCUGGACUUUGACCCUCGCUGGGAAGCUUGAUCGCCGCCUGUUCUCGCCAAUCUCUAUGCCUUUGCACUGCCCAGCAACCCGGUCACUGCCCAGGACCUGUUAAAAGUUGAAUGGACCUCCCAGAAUCACGCCGCUGCCACCGCCGUUUCUAGAGACGGCUUUUGGCCACCUUUGAGAAUCAGGGUCAAACUUGGAAGGGCCUGCAUUUGUCACACUUCCUCGGACACUAAUUUGGAUAGUUCAGGCCCAGAGACGGCUUCCCGGAACCUUCUGGAUUUCAGCUUUGGCAAGCUUCCUCUGUUUCUGAGACACCUCCAUCACCUGGGUUACAAUCCCAUCCAUGAUUUUCCCCAUCUCCAGGCAUUUUUCAUGGAAAGCUCCUCAUGCUUUUUAAUUCCAGUUUAUCCAUUUGUGUGGCUUUAACCUCCA